rnacentral:rRNA from 1 species
UACGAAGGGGGCUAGCGUUGCUCGGAAUCACUGGGCGUAAAGGGUGCGUAGGCGGGUUUUUAAGUCAGGGGUGAAAUCCUGGAGCUCAACUCCAGAACUGCCUUUGAUACUGGGGAUCUCGAGUCCGGAAGAGGUGAGUGGAACUCCGAGUGUAGAGGUGAAAUUCGUAGAUAUUCGGAAGAACACCAGUGGCGAAGGCGGCUCACUGGCCCGGUACUGACGCUGAGGUGCGAAAAGCGUGGGGGAGCAAACAGG